rnacentral:rRNA from 1 species
AGAAUGAACGUUGGCGGCGUGGAUUAGGCAUGCGAGUCGUGCGGGUGUAGCAAUACACCAGCGGCGAAAGGGACAGUAAUGUGUAGGUCAUCUGCCCUCGGGACAGGGAUAGCCACGGGAAACUGUGGGUAAUACCUGAUGACAUCUUCGGAUCAAAGGUGUGAAUCCGCCCGGGGAUGAGCCUACAUCCUAUUAGCUAGUUGGCGGGGUAACGGCCCACCAAGGCAUCGAUGGGUAGCGGGUGUGAGAGCACGACCCGCGUCAUUGGGACUGAGACACUGCCCAGACACCUACGGGUGGCUGCAGUCGAGAAUCUUCGGCAAUGGACGCAAGUCUGACCGAGCGACGCCGCGUGCGGGAUGAAGGCCUUCGGGUUGUAAACCGCUGUCAGUGGGAGGACGGCGUGUGUGAAGAGCACAGUUUGACCUAUCCGCGAGAGGAAGUGAGGCUAAGCUCGUGCCAGCAGCCGC